ACUUUGCUGUCCAGGUGCUGGACCAGUGGUUUGAGUCAGAGCCUCUAAAAGCCACUCUAGCAACAGAUGCUGUGAUUGGAGCCAUGACAA
rnacentral:pre_miRNA from 1 species